rnacentral:rRNA from 1 species
ACGCUCGACACCUACGGGAGACAGCAGUGGGGAAUAUUGCACAAUGGGGGAAACCCUGAUGCAGCGACGCCGCGUGAGCGAAGAAGUAUUUCGGUAUGUAAAGCUCUACCAGCAGGGAAGAAACUGACGGUACCUGACUAAGAAGCACCGGCUAAAUACGUGCCAGCAGCUGCGGUAAUCUGAGCGGGCUGGCAAGGC